GUUGUAUAGUCAAGUAAUUAAGUGCAUGUGGUGGAUGCCUUGGCAGUCAGAGGCGAUGAAAGACGUAAUAGCCUGCGAUAAGCUCCGGGGAGGCGGCAAAUAUC
rnacentral:rRNA from 1 species